UACGGAGGGGGCUAGCGUUGCUCGGAAUUACUGGGCGUAAAGAGCACGUAGGCGGGUAUUCUAGUCAGGCGUGAAAGCCCCAGGCUCAACCUGGGAACUGCGUUUGAUACUGGAUACCUAGAGUCCGAGAGAGGGUGGUGGAAUUCCCAGUGUAGAGGUGAAAUUCGUAGAUAUUGGGAAGAACACCAGUGGCGAAGGCGGCCACCUGGCUCGGUACUGACGCUGAGGUGCGAAAGCGUGGGGAGCAAAC
rnacentral:rRNA from 1 species